GAUGAAGAACGCAGCGAAAUGCGAUACGUAAUGUGAAUUGCAGAAUUCAGUGAAUCAUCGAGUCUUUGAACGCACAUUGCGCCCCCUGGUAUUCCGGGGGGCAUGCCUGUCCGAGCGUCAUUGCUGCCCUCAAGCACGGCUUGUGUGUUGGGCCUCCGUCCUCCUCCCGGGGGACGGGCCCGAAAGGCAGCGGCGGCACCGCGUCCGGUCCUCGAGCGUAUGGGGCUUCGUCACCCGCUCUUGUAGGCCCGGCCGGCGCUUGCCGACACAUCAAUCUUUUUUCCAGGUUGACCUCGGAUCAGGUAGGGAUGCCCGCUGAACUUAAGCAUAUCAAUAAGCGGAGGA
rnacentral:misc_RNA from 1 species